GGGUAACGGCCUACCAAGGCUAUGAUGGGUAGCUGGUCUGAGAGGACGAUCAGCCACACUGGAACUGAGACACGGUUCAGACUCCUACGGGAGGCAGCAGUGGGGAAUAUUGCGCAAUGGGCGAAAGCCUGACGCAGCAACGCCGCGUGGGGGAUGAAGGUUUUCGGAUUGUAAACCCCUUUCGACCGGAACGAAUCUCCUCUUGGUAAAUAAUCAGGAGGAUCGACGGUACCGGGAGAAGAAGCCACCGCUAACUCUGUGCCAGCAGCCGCGGUAAGACAGAGGUGGCGAGCGUUGUUCGGAUUUAUUGGGCGUAAAGCGAACGCAGGUGGUUUGGUAAGUCAGGGGUGAAAGCCCACAGCUUAACUGUGGCACCGCCUUUGAUACUGCCUUUCUUGAGUGCAUGAGGGGGAAGCGGAAUUCCGAGUGUAGAGGUGAAAUUCGUAGAUAUUCGGAGGAACACCGGUGGCGAAGGCGGCUUCCUGGCAUGUAACUGACACUCAUGUUCGAAAGCGUGGGUAGCAAACAGGAUUAGAUACCCUGGUAGUCCACGCCCUAAACGAUGGGCACUAGGUGUGGGAGGUAUCGACCCCUUCCGUGCCGCAGCUAACGCAUUAAGUGCCCCGCCUGGGGAGUACGGCCGCAAGGUUGAAACUCAAAGGAAUUGACGGGGGCCCGCACAAGCGGUGGUGCAUGUGGUUUAAUUCGACCACGCGAAGAACCUUACCUAGGCUUGACAUCCCUGGAAUCCCCUUGAAAGAGGGGAGUGCUCGCAAGAGAGCCAGGAGACAGGUGCUGCAUGGCUGUUGUCAGCUCGUGUCGUGAGAUGUUUGGUUAAGUCCCGCAACGAGCGCAACCCCCAUCCUCAGUUGCCAUCGGGUAAUGCCGGGCACUCAGAGGGAACUGCCCAGGAUAACUGGGAGGAAGGUGGGGAUGACGUCAAGUCCUCAUGGCCUUUAUGCCUAGGGCUACACACGUGCAACAAUGGCCGGUACAAAGGGUUGCAAUCCCGCGAGGGGGAGCCAAUCCCAAAAAACCGGUCUCAGUCCGGAUCGGAGUCUGCAACUCGACUCCGUGAAGUCGGAAUCGCUAGUAAUCGCGGAUCAGAACGCCGCGGUGAAUACGUUCCCGGGCCUUGUACACACCGCCCGUCACACCACGAAAGCCUAUUGUACCUUAAGUCGCUGCGUCAACCCGCAAGGGGGACAGGCGCCCACGGUAUGAUCGGUGAUUGGGGUGAAG
rnacentral:rRNA from 1 species